rnacentral:rRNA from 1 species
UACGUAGGGGGCUAGCGUUGUCCGGAUUUAUUGGGCGUAAAGAGCGUGUAGGCGGCCAUGUAGGUCCGGUGUGAAAACUCGAGGCUUAACCUCGAGAUGUCAUCGGAAACCAUUUGGCUAGAGUCCGGAAGAGGAGAGUGGAAUUCCUGGUGUAGCGGUGAAAUGCGCAGAUAUCAGGAGGAACACCAGCGGCGAAGGCGCCGCUCUGGGCCGUAACUGACGCUGAGGAGCGAAAGCAUGGGUAGCAAACAGG